rnacentral:rRNA from 1 species
ACACAACUCUUGUCGAUGGAUAUCUUGGCUCUCGCAACGAUGAAGAACGCAGCGAAAUGCGAUACGUAAUGCGAAUUGCAGAAUUCAGUGAAUCAUCGAACUUUUGAACGCAACUGGCGCUUCCAGGUUCCGCCUGGGAGCAUGUUUCUUCGAGUGGCGCCU